rnacentral:rRNA from 1 species
AUUGAACGCUGGCGGCAGGCCUAACACAUGCAAGUCGAGCGGAUGAAGGGAGCUUGCUCCUGGAUUCAGCGGCGGACGGGUGAGUAAUGCCUAGGAAUCUGCCUGGUAGUGGGGGAUAACGUCUGGAAACGGGCGCUAAUACCGCAUACGUCCUGAGGGAGAAAGUGGGGGAUCUUCGGACCUCACGCUAUCAGAUGAGUCCAGGUCGGAUUAGCUAGUUGGUGGGGUAAAGGCCUACCAAGGCGACGAUCCGUAACUGGUCUGAGAGGAUGAUCAGUCACACUGGAACUGAGACACGGUCCAGACUCCUACGGGAGGCAGCAGUGGGGAAUAUUGGACAAUGGGCGAAAGCCUGAUCCAGCCAUGCCGCGUGUGUGAAGAAGGUCUUCGGAUUGUAAAGCACUUUAAGUUGGGAGGAAGGGCAGUAAGUUAAUACCUUGCUGUUUUGACGUUACCAACAGAAUAAGCACCGGCUAACUUCGUG